AGGAUUGGGUCUCCCACCAGAAUACCAGCCUUCACAUCGAGAACUGCAAACUUCUGCGAAAGCAAUACCCAGAGUGGAACGGUGAAAUAGCAUCACCGCUAGGUGCGUCAGGUGCCAAGCCCUCUCCCUCAACUUCUGCAGAGACUUCCCAGAAGAAAACCAGACAUGAGAGUCGUUCCCGUUCCUGCAGCCCCCGC